rnacentral:rRNA from 1 species
CCUACGGGUGGCAGCAGUCGAGAAUCAUUCACAAUGGGGGAAACCCUGAUGGUGCGACGCCGCGUGGGGGAAUGAAGGUCUUCGGAUUGUAAACCCCUGUCAUGUGGGAGCAAAUUAAAAAGAUAGUACGACAAGAGGAAGAGAGUGCUAACUCUGUGCCAGCAGCCGCGGUAAUACAGAGGUCUCCAGCGUUGUUCGGAAUCACUGGGCCGAAAGGGUGCGUAGGCUGUUUCGUCAGUCGUGUGUGAAAGGCGCGGGCUCAACCCCCGGACCGCACAUGAUACUGGGAGACUAGAGUAAUGGAGGGGGAACCGGAAUUCUCGGUGUAGCAGUGAAAUGCGUAGAUAUCGGGAGGAACACUCGUGGCGAAGGCAGGUUCCUGGACAUUAACUGACGCUGAGGCACGAAGGCCAGGGGAGCGAAAGGGAUUAGAUACCCCUGUAGUC